CAUCUAAUUACAUCAACAUAUAUUACUAAUUAGUUUGACCAAAAAAAAAACAUAUUACUAAUCAUAUAUAUGAAAGUUGGCCAACUCUCUCCCUAUAAAUGACACAUCAUCACACAAGAAAAUGACAUGUGUCAUUCUAUAUUAAUUAAAUAAAAAAUUAAUACAAUUAAUUGAGGAAGAAUCAAAAGUCUUUUGUUGUGUUAAAUUCUCUAUAAUCUCUCUUUUAAAUAAAUUUUCUUAAAACAUUCAAU
rnacentral:sRNA from 1 species